ACGCGAAAGCCCCGCAAGGGGCAAGUAGAGUGGCAAACGGGUGAGUAACACGUGGGUGACCUGCCUUCGAGCGGGGGAUAACGUCCCGAAAGGGACGCUAAUACCGCAUAACAUCCUGCCUUUGAAGAGGUGGAGAUCAAAGCCGGGGAUCGCAAGACCCGGCACUCGGAGAGGGGCCCGCGCCUGAUUAGCUAGUUGGUGGGGUAACGGCCUACCAAGGCGACGAUCAGUAUCCGGCCUGAGAGGGCGGACGGACACACUGGGACUGAGACACGGCCCAGACUCCUACGGGAGGCAGCAGUGGGGAAUUGUUCGCAAUGGGCGCAAGCCUGACGACGCAACGCCGCGUGGAGGAUGAAGAUUUUCGGAUCGUAAACUCCUGUCGAAUGGGACGAAUAGAUUGCGGGUUAACAGCCCGUAGUCCUGACGGUACCGUUAAAGGAAACCCCGGCUAACUCCGUGCCAGCAGCCGCGGUAAUACGGGGGGGGUAAGCGUUG
rnacentral:rRNA from 1 species